rnacentral:rRNA from 1 species
AUUGAACGCUGGCGGCAGGCCUAACACAUGCAAGUCGAACGGUAACAGGAAGAAGCUUGCUUCUUUGCUGACGAGUGGCGGACGGGUGAGUAAUGUCUGGGAAACUGCCUGAUGGAGGGGGAUAACUACUGGAAACGGUAGCUAAUACCGCAUAACGUCGCAAGACCAAAGAGGGGGACCUUCGGGCCUCUUGCCAUCGGAUGUGCCCAGAUGGGAUUAGCUAGUAGGUGGGGUAACGGCUCACCUAGGCGACGAUCCCUAGCUGGCCUGAGAGGAUGACCAGCCACACUGGAACUGAGACACGGUCCAGACUCCUACGGGAGGCAGCAGUGGGGAAUAUUGCACAAUGGGCGCAAGCCUGAUGCAGCCAUGCCGCGUGUAUGAAGAAGGCCUUCGGGUUGUAAAGUACUUUCAGCGGGGAGGAAGGGAGUAAAGUUAAUACCCUUGCUCAUUGACGUUACCCGCAGAAGAAGCACCGGCUAACUCCGUG